rnacentral:rRNA from 1 species
GAUGAACGCUGGCGGCGUGCCUAAUACAUGCAAGUCGAGCGAACAGACGAGGAGCUUGCUCCUCUGACGUUAGCGGCGGACGGGUGAGUAACACGUGGAUAACCUACCUAUAAGACUGGGAUAACUUCGGGAAACCGGAGCUAAUACCGGAUAAUAUAUUGAACCGCAUGGUUCAAUAGUGAAAGACGGUUUUGCUGUCACUUAUAGAUGGAUCCGCGCCGCAUUAGCUAGUUGGUAAGGUAACGGCUUACCAAGGCAACGAUGCGUAGCCGCCCGGAGAGGGUGAUCGGCCACACUGGAACUGAGACACGGUCCAGACUCCUACGGGAGGCAGCAGUAGGGAAUCUUCCGCAAUGGGCGAAAGCUUGACGGAGCAACGCCGCGUGAGUGAUGAAGGUCUUCGGAUCGUAAAACUCUGUUAUUAGGGAAGAACAAAUGUGUAAGUAACUAUGCACGUCUUGACGGUACCUAAUCAGAAAGCCACGGCUAACUACGUG